rnacentral:lncRNA from 1 species
ACAGGGAAUUGGAUUAUUUAGAAGGGGGAUGUUAUGGCUUAUAUCUAGAUGCCCUCCCAAAGCUCAUAUGUGGGCUUGCGGAAGGUGAUUCAAUUAUGGGGGCUUAUAGCUGUGCUGUUAAGAGGUGGAGUCUGGUCAGAAGAAGUAAAUCAGUAGGAGAGGCCUGGAAGGGUUUACCUUACUCCUCAGCUCCUCCCUUCUCUCUCUACUUUCUGGAUGCCAUGAGACGAUCAGCUUUUCUUCUGCCACGCCCCUGUGCCAUGCCAUCCUGCCAUGGAGCCAGAUGAACAUGGUCUGAAAUAUGUUGUCUUCAACUUUCUUGCUUCCUAUGCUACAAGGAAUGAACCUGAUCCUUUCUGUCCUGCAGCUCCAGGUCCAGAAACACAUGUGUAAAAUAUUCUUGAAGAAAAGCAGUGUUCUCAUCACAAAAAUGACAACUAUGUGAGCAAUGAAAGAAUAAUUGUGCCCAUUUCCUUGGGAACCAUAGUUCUCACUCUGCAAGAAGGAACAAGCAAAUAUGGGAUGGCAGAAGCCAGGCAUGGUGGUGCACGCCUGUGAUCCCAGCACUUGGGAGGCUGUGGCAGGAGGGCUGUCAUGAGUUUGAGGCCAGCCUGAACUACACAGGAAGAUCCUGUCUCAAAAAACAUUAAAAAAUUAAAAUUAUCUUUCUCUUUCAAAUCUUACAACUAAUCCAUACACUGUAAUUUUUAAAGUAGAACAAUUUCCUGGCUUCAAAG